GUGUUAUAUGAAAGCAGAGAAGGUUAGCUUUCCCCAUGACAAGGAUGGAAGAGGCCCUCAGACCUAAAAACAUGCAUAUGGUUAAGGCAUUGCAACCUACUUCAUGACAUCUAACCAUUGUUUUUG